rnacentral:lncRNA from 1 species
CCACAAUCUAUAUUGUCCUCCCAUCAUUUGGUCCUGGAGAAAUUAGCUUAUCAUCUGCUUAAAUGCAAUUUCGCCAUUGUUUUAAAUGACGUAAUUGACUCAGCCGCCUUGACAUCUUGCAGGAGACUAUUCCAUAGAAUUGCUCCACUGUAUCCAAAUGUUUUCUUUAGAAAUUCCGUUUUCGGUUUUUUUAACGAGAGAUCA